rnacentral:rRNA from 1 species
GAUGAACGCUGGCGGCGUGCCUAACACAUGCAAGUCGAGCGGCAGCGAGGGGUGCUUGCACCCUGUCGGCGAGCGGCGGACGGCUGAGUAACGCGUGGGAACGUGCCCCAAAGUGAGGAAUAACUGCCCGAAAGGGUAGCUAAUACCGCAUAUUAUCUUCGGAUCAAAGGAUUUAUCCGCUUUGGGAGCGGCUCGCGUCGGAUUAGGUAGUUGGUGAGGUAAUGGCUCACCAAGCCGACGAUCCGUAGCUGGUCUGAGAGGAUGCCCAGCCAGACUGGAACUGAGACACGGUCCAGACUCCUACGGGAGGCAGCAGUGAGGAAUCUUCCACAAUGGGCGAAAGCCUGAUGGAGCAACGCCGCGUGCAGGACGAAGGCCUUCGGGUUGUAAACUGCUUUUAUAAGUGAGGAAUAUGACGGUAACUUAUGAAUAAGGAUCGGCUAACUACGUG